UACGAAGGGGGCUAGCGUUGUUCGGAUUUACUGGGCGUAAAGCGCACGUAGGCGGAUCUUUAAGUCAGAGGUGAAAUCCCAAGGCUCAACCUUGGAACUGCCUUUGAUACUGGGGAUCUUGAGUCCGGGAGAGGUGAGUGGAACUGCGAGUGUAGAGGUGAAAUUCGUAGAUAUUCGCAAGAACACCAGUGGCGAAGGCGGCUCACUGGCCCGGUACUGACGCUGAGGCACGAAAGCGUGGGGAGCAAACAGGG
rnacentral:rRNA from 1 species